rnacentral:sRNA from 1 species
AAUUAUUCGCGUUAGGGAUUGAAGCGGUAUCCUUUUACUUAGCCUGCCCUUAACAGACUAAGCAAAAGAUACAGCGGAAAGCCCGACAGUUU